AGACAUUUAAUCUCAAUGGUCGUUGUACAGCGAUGAGAACGACGCUGUACUGUGUGUACAACAAGUAUAUAAAAGUUUGCGACCGUAAUAGAAAACCAUUGAAUGUUAACGUCAAGAGUGAAGAGGAAGGAGUUGUGGGUGAAGUUGUGGGCUUAGGAUUAUCCAGAGGCUUACCGGAAGCGCCGGCCAGUUUACCAAAGCAGAAUGCAACUUCGUCGUAAUCGGACACAUACAUUUAUUCUUGUUUAAUGUGGUCGAAAAUGAAGUCAAAUAAAAUUUUUAGAAAUUAGCAUGAUAA